ACGGAGGGUGCAAGCGUUAUCCGGAUUUACUGGGUUUAAAGGGUGCGUAGGUGGGCAGGAAAGUCAGUGGUGAAAUCUCCGGGCUUAACCCGGAAACUGCCAUUGAUACUAUUUGUCUUGAAUACUUUGGAGGUAAGCGGAAUAUGUCAUGUAGCGGUGAAAUGCUUAGAUAUGACAUAGAACACCAAUUGCGAAGGCAGCUUACUACACAGUAAUUGACACUGAGGCACGAAAGCGUGGGGAUCAAACAGGAUUAGAUACCCUGGUAGUCCACGCCCUAAACGAUGGAUACUCGACAUUAGCGAUACACAGUUAGUGUCUGAGCGAAAGCAUUAAGUAUCCCACCUGGGAAGUACGAUCGCAAGAUUG
rnacentral:rRNA from 1 species